CUCUGGAUGAGAUGCCUGCUGCCUGCCCGCCCCACCUCAUGAUGAGGACGCACCUGCCUUGGCUAUUGGCUCUGCUCCUGCUGGCAUGGCCAGACAGCAGCGCCCGGCUGUGAGUCUGAGCAACUUCCCCACCCGGAGCUUGGGUGACCACGAGGGCAGAGGAUGGGUGGAGGGCUUGGCGAGCUGGCGCUUUCCAGAGAGCAGGGUCCACACCUGUGAGGUUGAGGUGUGACUGAGGCAGGGACUGAAGCUUGGUCUCUGACCUCCAGCUGUGCCUCCCCCAGCCCAGGCACUGAGAUGUCAUCAGUGCACCGCCACAGAGAAUUGUCUGCAGCCCACGUCUUGCCAAAACAGCACCCGCUACUGCCUGACCACGUGGAACAGUCCCCCAGGCCACCAAACAAUUGUUAUAAAAUCAUGUGCUUACACCUGCCCUGGCUUCCAAGAGAGCCUAGCUUACUCAAGGGCCUCUUGCUGCAACACCGAUCUCUGCAACAGCACAGCCAGCCACAGCACCAGCUGGGGGCUGCUGGCCCUCAGCAUCUGGUGUGCCUACCUCUGCAGAUAGUGGGGCUUGGCCCAGCCGUGCCUAAAACCUGCAGGAUUAGGAGUCUGGAGCAGUGACACGUCAUGCACUGACCUGCCUGUGGCCCUCCACACAGCCCCUCCUCUCUGGGUCCUGCUUCGGGAAGGAUUCCAGGAGACGUACGUGGUGGGGCAUCUGCUCGCUGUCCUGGCUGCUGUCCAGGGUGCUGCAUUCUGAUCGCUGCCCAGGCAGCUGGCCACCUGCUGGCCUCCAGCGGCUAGUGCAGUUAGAUGGCCACAGCAGUAACCAUGCCGAAGGCCCAAGCAGGUUCCUCUGGAAGUCCAGACUUUGUUGCAGACCUUCAUCUUUACCUGCUUUCCAAGACUUGACCCUCCUGAGAACCUGGGGUUGUGCUUCACCACUUCAGGCGGUGGGGAGCCCCGAGGGGCGGACACUCACCUGCCUCCUCCUUGCCCAGCACUCAGAUGUGCUGCUGUAAGUUGGUUCCAAGACCACUGACGGAUGGAAACCCUCUGGAGGGACGCCCUGUCUGGAGUGUAGGGGCGGGGCAACUGCCUACAUGAGAGGUCACCCCCAGAGUACCGUGUGGACACCUCCAGCUUGUGCAGCUGCUGAAGAGCUCCCAGGGCCCUAUGGUUUCCCUUCCAGGCUGAAGCUCCAAUGGCUACCAGAAUCUCAGGUCCUACAAGCACCACUCCACUCUGGACUUGGAGAGCAUCAGAAAGGCCAGGGGCUAGGCUCCAGCCAGCUGGGGAGCAGGGACCCCCACCCCUGCAGGCCCAGGCGCUGGUCUCUGACAGUUGUUAUCUGUCACGAGGGGGCAUCCUUCUAUUAAAGUGCCCCUUGGAGUCAUUUCCUUCUAACUGAGCAUGUAUUUGGCUUUCUCCUCAGAUCUGAAGUCUCCAAAGCAGGGCCACCUCCUUGGGGGCCUUGCAGACAAGCACUUGUGAACAGAGCAACCUUCACUGACAUUUCUCCAGGGGGACAUUGUGGGGUUCCCACAUUGAGACUCCUCUGCCUCUGCUCCUGGCCCCCCUCUCUCUGCCUAACACACCUCCCUUCCUCGGGAGGGACGUGUGCAUGGGGCUCCCUCACUUUCUGCAGCCCUGGAGCUGGCUGGACCCAGCGGGGGUCCUGUCUGACCUAGGCAUUUGUCAGGGCCACCUUCCUAACAAAGCUGGGGCUCUUCCUCAGCCUCGGCACACGAGAAGUGCAAUCUCGGGCUGGUGGCACCUGCAGCAGGGAAGGCUGGAGCACCCACUGCGGCUGCCCUCACACAUGCUCUGGCUCAAGGGAUUAAAGAGCCUUCUAAGCAGCACGUGCUUGGAGUAGCUGGCUAGGUCUCAGUCCCCUGAUGAGACCAGAUACUUCUUCCACUGAGAGCCAGGUAGUUCUUGGUCCCAAGGACCAGUCACCUGGGCACUUUGAGUGUCUGGCAGCGGCCAUGAAUGGGAGUUGAGUGUGUGUGGCUGGGGAACAGACGCCAAAUGCAAGCGUGGGCACAGCUGCUCUGCCGAUGCUAAUUAGUGGGUGGGGGUCACUGAGUUUGGCCACAUGCAGGUGUCCUCUGAAUGCACCUCCCAGGGCCUGGGGCUCCUUAGGGGCUCCCCAGCAGUGUCCCUGGAGAUGGGAGGUCAUUAAAAGGGGCUUCUGUGGAACCACCUGAGCCAGUCCCCAGCAGGGACGUGGAGACCCACCCAGCCCGGGCACAGGCUCUAGUGGCCAGCAUCCUCUGCCCCCAGUCUGGACUGGUGCUCGGUAGGUGUCUCACAGGCCAUGAGGCCUGUGUCCCCAGCAGCCAGCUCAGGGUUGGAGUUGGAGGGUUAGUGGGGUGCAUGGUCAGUGUGAGAGGUUGCAAGGGACUCCCUGGGGCCCCUCAUGUCCGCUCUUCCCAUGCUCAGUAGGCUGUGGCUGCCCUCAGUCUCAGGGGCCCAGGCAUGAUGACAACAUCACGAUUCCUACCACCCAAUUUCUCUCUGCACUGCAGGGGGGAGGCUGCCUCUGUCACCCCAGCAUGCCCAUUGUCACAGUAGGGCCAGCAGACCAGUGAAUGCAAACUGUGCCUUUCAGGGUUACUAGUUCAGAGCUCUUUUUAACAAAUUGUACUAAUUUAAAUUUCUAAAGGAAUAUUGUGUACUUAUGACAUAGUCCACAAUAAAAUAUUGUGUACUUAUGACAAAGUCCACAAAAAAACCAAUACAGGUACCCCAAGGAUUAAGGAGCAACCCUCCCCACACCUCUCAUCUCUUUCACACGUUCAUUCCACACGUUCAUGUGUUGGCUGUUGGUGAACCAGAGUCACUCUCCCAGUUUCCUGGAGCUUGGAACCCAGCAGGUGACAGAAAAAGAUAGCUAGCACACACACCCUGCUGUGAGUGCUUGUUGAGAGCAGCCAGAUAUAGACCACAGCUGAGGGUGACCCCAGACCUGGGCCCUUGGAAGGCUUCUGAAGGAGGAGGAGACCCUGGGCUGGGCACACAUAGGCAGGGAGGGGUGGUGCAGCUGGAGCUUAGAGUGGGGGCAGCUGGGCAGGUGGGGGUGAGGGCGUCUGGUGGGGUGAGUGGGGCUGCACUCAGGACUUGGGCCAUUCUGAUUUCUGAGCUGGGGAGCACAGCACUGGAUCUGCCUUCUGUAGGAAGGGGAGGCUGUAGGAUGAACAGUGGUCUGAGAUCGCCGCAGGGUGACUGGGGGUCUCUCUGGGCCUAACAGCAGGUCCUGAGCAUUUUGUCAGGACCUCAGGAAGCUGGUCUUUUCCAAUGGGGUUUUUGGUGCCCCCUCCACAGGGCCCAGCUCUGUCUGUGUGGGUGUCCUUGCAAGGCAGAUGCAGGCGGACCAUCAGCCUGGUGCACCCCAGGAAGCAGCGCUGUCCGAGGGCAGGGUUGAGGGAGGCAAUCCAGGACUUCUUAAGGCCCAGGUGCAAUCCAGCUCCUUACCUUGGCUCCCUUCUUCCCCAUGUCCUGGGCCCAAAUAUUCCUCCCCAACCCCCCCACAGUCCUUGUCACAGGCUAUGCUUUAUGGGGUCCAUGGUGGGACAGUGGCUGCCUGUUGUGUUUUUCCUAUGCUCCAUCUACUUUUUCCUAUUAUAAAUACUGUAGACAUAUAUAUGAGUGGCAUUGUUGUAGGAUAAUAUUUAGAAAUAAACGUAUCCUACAUCAAGCACACAAAGUAAAUUCAGUGUGAGUUUAAAAUGACUUGCUUU